AUACGUAGGGGGCGAGCGUUGUCCGGAAUGACUGGGCGUAAAGGGCGUGUAGGCGGCGGUGUAAGUCUGGAGUGAAAGUCCCGGUUUCAAGUUGGGAACUGCUUUGGAUACUGUUCAACUUGAGUGCGGAAGAGGUAAGUGGAAUUCCCAGUGUAGCGGUGAAAUGCGUAGAGAUUGGGAGGAACACCAGUGGCGAAGGCGACUUACUGGGCCGUAACUGACGCUGAGGCGCGAAAGCGUGGGGAGCGAACAGGAUUAGAUACCCUGGUAGUCCACGCGGUAAACGAUGAAUGCUAGGUGUUGCGGGUAUCGACCCCUGCAGUGCCGGAGUAAACACAAUAAGCAUUCCGCCUGGGGAGUACGGCCGCAAGGUUGAAACUCAAAUGAAUUGACGGGG
rnacentral:rRNA from 1 species